rnacentral:rRNA from 1 species
UACGAACUGUGCGAACGUUAUUCGGAAUCACUGGGCUUAAAGGGUGCGUAGGCGGCUUGCUAAGUAGGGUGUGAAAGCCCCCGGCUCAACCGGGGAAUAGCGCCCUAAACUGGCGAGCUGGAGUGAGACAGGGGUGUGUGGAACUUCCAGUGGAGCGGUGAAAUGUGUUGAUAUUGGAAGGAACACCGGUGGCGAAAGCGACACACUGGGUCUCAACUGACGCUGAGGCACGAAAGCCAGGGGAGCAAACGGG